CCUUGACAGAACCCUGGACACCUUUGAAGGGAUUCCAACCAACAGCUCCAAAGAUUUGCUGUGUUGCUUCCAAUAUUGUUACUUCUGAUGGACCAUGUGGGUAUGGAGGAGAAAAUACCAGCAAAGAACUCUGGACUUCUCAGAAGAAAGUCAGAAGGUUUCUUCAGCAUGCAGACAUACAGCAAAAACUCACUUUAUUGAGGGACCUUCUCUCCAGAUUCAGGUAUGUUUCAUGGAGAGUAUCAUUUCCUUGAUCUCCAAAAUGGAAAUUAUAUCACCGGCUGGUGUGAUGCCUUCUUGAACCACAGAUCCAGUUGUAAGCCCAGCUACCGAGGGUUAGGAAAGACUGCUGAGCCCCCUCAAUCGCCUCCCUGCACUGGGAUAAGCUGUGACUCACGACGGGUGUUCAAUCAGAGGCAGCCCCGGGUUGGCAGGCCAGACUCUAGAUCUAUCCACAUCCAGAAAAAUGGCACAGAUGAACCUAUCUCCAGGCAGGAGCAGAGACAGAGACAUAGAGGAUGCAUAUGCGGACACAGUGGAGGCAGGAGAAGCAUCUGAACAGAGCCUGGAUAACAAGAGGAAGUCAUAUGUUAAUUUGUGAGCGAAUGAAAUUGUACACCAUGUGAGGCAAUCCUACCAAGCCAGCAUCAGGAACCUUGACUCCCAGGAAGGUUUCAGAUUGAU
ensembl:lncRNA